UAUUGCUCUGUCUGCACAAGU
rnacentral:piRNA from 1 species